UACGUAGGGUGCAAGCGUUGUCCGGAAUUAUUGGGCGUAAAGAGCUUGUAGGCGGUUUGUCGCGUCUGCUGUGAAAUUUCGGGGCUCAACCCCGAACUUGCAGUGGGUACGGGCAGACUAGAGUGUGGUAGGGGGAGACUGGAAUUCCUGGUGUAGCGGUGAAAUGCGCAGAUAUCAGGAGGAACACCGAUGGCGAAGGCAGCUCGCUGGGACGUUACUGACACUGAGGCGCGAAAGCGUGGGGGAGCGAACAGG
rnacentral:rRNA from 1 species